rnacentral:rRNA from 1 species
UACGGAGGGUGCAAGCGUUGCUCGGAAUUAUUGGGCGUAAAGGGUAGGUAGGUGGUCUCAUUUGUCUGGGGUGAAAUCCUUGAGCUUAACUCAAGAAGUGCCUCAGAAACGGUGAGACUAGAGUUCUGGAGAGGGUCGUGGAAUUCCCGGUGUAGCGGUGAAAUGCGUAGAGAUCGGGAGGAACCCCAGAGGCGAAGGCGGCGACCUGGACAGAUACUGACACUCAACUACGAAAGCGUGGGGAGCAAACAGG